rnacentral:rRNA from 1 species
AGUGAACGCUGGCGGUAGGCCUAACACAUGCAAGCCGAACGGCAGCACAGUAAGAGCUUGCUCUUACGGGUGGCGAGUGGCGGACGGGUGAGGAAUACAUCGGAAUCUACUUUUUCGUGGGGGAUAACGUAGGGAAACUUACGCUAAUACCGCAUACGACCUACGGGUGAAAGCAGGGGAUCUUCGGACCUUGCGCGAUUGAAUGAGCCGAUGUCGGAUUAGCUAGUUGGCGGGGUAAAGGCCCACCAAGGCGACGAUCCGUAGCUGGUCUGAGAGGAUGAUCAGCCACACUGGAACUGAGACACGGUCCAGACUCCUACGGGAGGCAGCAGUGGGGAAUAUUGGACAAUGGGCGCAAGCCUGAUCCAGCCAUACCGCGUGGGUGAAGAAGGCCUUCGGGUUGUAAAGCCCUUUUGUUGGGAAAGAAAAGCAGCAGGUUAAUACCCCGCUGUUCUGACGGUACCCAAAGAAUAAGUACCGGCUAACUUCGUG